CCUACGGGUGGCAGCAGUGGGGAAUAUUGGACAAUGGGGGGAACCCUGAUCCAGCCAUGCCGCGUGUGUGAAGAAGGCCCUCGGGUUGUAAAGCACUUUCAGUGAGGAAGAACGCCUGGUGGUUAAUACCCAUCAGGAAAGACAUCACUCACAGAAGAAGCACCGGCUAACUCCGUGCCAGCAGCCGCGGUAAUACGGAGGGUGCGAGCGUUAAUCGGAAUUACUGGGCGUAAAGCGCGCGUAGGUGGCUUGAUAAGCCGGUUGUGAAAGCCCCGGGCUCAACCUGGGAACGGCAUCCGGAACUGUCGAGCUAGAGUGCAGGAGAGGAAGGUAGAAUUCCCGGUGUAGCGGUGAAAUGCGUAGAGAUCGGGAGGAAUACCAGUGGCGAAGGCGGCCUUCUGGACUGACACUGACACUGAGGUGCGAAAGCGUGGGUAGCAAACAGGAUUAGAUACCCUAGUAGUC
rnacentral:rRNA from 1 species